CCUACGGGAGGCAGCAGUGGGGAAUAUUGGACAAUGGGCGAAAGCCUGAUCCAGCAAUGCCGCGUGAGUGAUGAAGGCCUUCGGGUCGUAAAGCUCUUUUACCAGGGAUGAUAAUGACAGUACCUGGAGAAUAAGCUCCGGCUAACUCCGUGCCAGCAGCCGCGGUAAUACGGAGGGAGCUAGCGUUGUUCGGAAUUACUGGGCGUAAAGAGUACGUAGGCGGUUAUUCAAGUCAGAGGUGAAAGCCCGGGGCUCAACCCCGGAACUGCCUUUGAAACUAGAUAACUAGAGUCUUGGAGAGGUUAGUGGAAUUCCGAGUGUAGAGGUGAAAUUCGUAGAUAUUCGGAAGAACACCAGUGGCGAAGGCGACUAACUGGACAAGUACUGACGCUGAGGUACGAAAGCGUGGGGAGCAAACAGGAUUAGAUACCCUGGUAGUCCACGCCGUAAACGAUGAUAACUAGUUGUUCGGUCACUUGGUGACUGAGUGACGCAGCUAACGCAUUAAGUUAUCCGCCUGGGGAGUACGGUCGCAAGAUUAAAACCNCAAAGAUAGUACGCGNGNGAGAGCGACGACGACGACGACGGAGGAGAG
rnacentral:rRNA from 1 species